rnacentral:rRNA from 1 species
UACGUAGGGGGCGAGCGUUGUCCGGAGUUACUGGGCGUAAAGCGCGCGCAGGCGGUCACGUAAGUUUGCACUGACAGCUCCUGGCUUAACCGGGAGAGGCGUGUGAAAACUGCGUGACUUGAGGGCCUCAGAGGGACAUGGAAUUCCAGGUGGAGCGGUGAAAUGCGUAGAGAUCUGGAGGAACACCAAAGGCGAAGGCAGUGUCCUGGGAGGCAUCUGACGCUCAGGCGCGAAAGCCAGGGGAGCAAACAGG